rnacentral:rRNA from 1 species
GAUGAACGCUGGCGGCGUGCCUAAUACAUGCAAGUCGAGCGAACGGACGAGAAGCUUGCUUCUCUGAUGUUAGCGGCGGACGGGUGAGUAACACGUGGAUAACCUACCUAUAAGACUGGGAUAACUUCGGGAAACCGGAGCUAAUACCGGAUAAUAUUUUGAACCGCAUGGUUCAAAAGUGAAAGACGGUCUUGCUGUCACUUAUAGAUGGAUCCGCGCUGCAUUAGCUAGUUGGUAAGGUAACGGCUUACCAAGGCAACGAUGCAUAGCCGACCUGAGAGGGUGAUCGGCCACACUGGAACUGAGACACGGUCCAGACUCCUACGGGAGGCAGCAGUAGGGAAUCUUCCGCAAUGGGCGAAAGCCUGACGGAGCAACGCCGCGUGAGUGAUGAAGGUCUUCGGAUCGUAAAACUCUGUUAUUANGGAAGAACAUAUGUGUAAGUAACUGUGCACAUCUUGACGGUACCUAAUCAGAAAGCCACGGCUAACUACGUGCCAGCAGCCGCGGUAAUACGUNAGUGGCAAGCGUUAUCCGGAAUUAUGGGGCGUAAAGCGCGCGUAGGCGGUUUUUUAAGUCUGAUGUGAAAGCCCACGGCUCAACCGUGGAGGGUCAUUGGAAACUGGAAAACUUGAGUGCAGAAGAGGAAAGUGGAAUUCCAUGUGUAGCGGUGAAAUGCGCAGAGAUAUGGAGGAACACCAGUGGCGAAGGCGACUUUCUGGUCUGUAACUGACGCUGAUGUGCGAAAGCGUGGGGAUCAAACAGGAUUAGAUACCCUGGUAGUCCACGCCGUAAACGAUGAGUGCUAAGUGUUAGGGGGUUUCCGCCCCUUAGUGCUGCAGCUAACGCAUUAAGCACUCCGCCUGGGGAGUACGACCGCAAGGUUGAAACUCAAAGGAAUUGACGGGGACCCGCACAAGCGGUGGAGCAUGUGGUUUAAUUCGAAGCAACGCGAAGAACCUUACCAAAUCUUGACAUCCUUUGACAACUCUAGAGAUAGAGCUUUCCCCUUCGGGGGACAAAGUGACAGGUGGUGCAUGGUUGUCGUCAGCUCGUGUCGUGAGAUGUUGGGUUAAGUCCCGCAACGAGCGCAACCCUUAAGCUUAGUUGCCAUCAUUAAGUUGGGCACUCUAAGUUGACUGCCGGUGACAAACCGGAGGAAGGUGGGGAUGACGUCAAAUCAUCAUGCCCCUUAUGAUUUGGGCUACACACGUGCUACAAUGGACAAUACAAAGGGCAGCGAAACCGUGAGGUCAAGCAAAUCCCAUAAAGUUGUUCUCAGUUCGGAUUGUAGUCUGCAACUCGACUACAUGAAGCUGGAAUCGCUAGUAAUCGUAGAUCAGCAUGCUACGGUGAAUACGUUCCCGGGUCU